GCGGGUGUAGCUCAACGGUAGAGUACGAGCUUCCCAAGCUCGGUGUUGCGAGUUCGAUCCUCGUCACCCGCUCCA
rnacentral:tRNA from 2 species